rnacentral:rRNA from 1 species
CCUACGGGAUGCAGCAGUAGGGAAUCUUCGGCAAUGGACGAAAGUCUGACCGAGCAACGCCGCGUGAGUGAAGAAGGUUUUCGGAUCGUAAAACUCUGUUGUUAGAGAAGAACAAGGACGUUAGUAACUGAACGUCCCCUGACGGUAUCUAACCAGAAAGCCACGGCUAACUACGUGCCAGCAGCCGCGGUAAUACGUAGGUGGCAAGCGUUGUCCGGAUUUAUUGGGCGUAAAGCGAGCGCAGGCGGUUUCUUAAGUCUGAUGUGAAAGCCCCCGGCUCAACUGGGGAGGGUCAUUGGAAACUGGGAGACUUGAGUGCAGAAGAGGAGAGUGGAAUUCCAUGUGUAGCGGUGAAAUGCGUAGAUAUAUGGAGGAACACCAGUGGCGAAGGCGGCUCUCUGGUCUGUAACUGACGCUGAGGCUCGAAAGCGUGGGGAGCAAACAGGAUUAGAUACCCCGGUAGUC